rnacentral:misc_RNA from 1 species
GAAUUUAUAGGGCAGAGCAGUUUUGCAAAAUAGAUAACAUCCUGUUAGAUUUGAAGGUGGCUAUUACUCAAUUCACAUGGAGUGAGGGAUGUGCCUUACAAUGGCACCAAAUGCACAUGGAAAGUACAUAGCAGCUCAGCUAGGAGCCCAGGAGUUGUGAAUCAAGGACCAAAACCAUUGAGGGUGUAUUACAGAAGAAACAUAAGGAAGAGAGAACAAUUAGAAAGAAA